UAAUACCGGAUAGAUCAAAGAUACUGGAAUGUUCCUUGAUCCAAAGCUCCGGCGUCCAAGGAUGGAUCUGCGGCCUAUCAGGUAGUAGUGGGUGUAACGUACCUACUAGCCUACGACGGGUAAGGGUUGUGAGAGCAAGAGCCCUGAGAUGGAUUCUGAGACAUGAAUCCAGGCCCUACGGGGUGCAGCAGGCGCGAAAACUUUACACUGCGGGAAACCGCGAUAAGGGGACCCCGAGUGCCAGCACCUAGUGCUGGCUGUCCAGCUGUUCAAAUAACAGUUGUUAGCAAGGGCCGGGCAAGACCGGUGCCAGCCGCCGCGGUAACACCGGCGGCCCGAGUGGUAGCCGUUAUUAUUGGGUUUAAAGGGCCCGUAGCCGGCCUAUUAAGUCUCUUGGGAAAUCUGGCGGCUUAAUCGUCAGGCGUUC
rnacentral:rRNA from 1 species